GAAGCCAGGCCAAGAAGAAUCCCAGGACUGGAAGGCCUUGUGGGACGUCCCAGGUUUGUCUUGUGUCAAUAGCACUGAUACUCAAUCUCCUACUCCCAUCUGUGAGCAUGCAGACCCUACUUGCCUUCCCACAGCCUCCCUUUUCAUAUUUUUCAUGUUUCUUUAGCUCUGUCUUCAAGCCUUGUUGCUCCCGCAAAAAAACCUGCCUCUUCCUCCAGUCCUCCCAAGCAGGGGGAACAGUCCUGACACCUUUCCAAGCCCUGGUCCAUGGACAUUGUGCCCCCUUCUCCCUGCCCAUGGUGACCUGCUCCAAAACCCUCAAGGAGAAGGGAGUGUAUGUCAUUUCCUCCCUGUAAAGUAAAGAUAAUUUUGCAGGGGACUGUGUGGAUGAAAUGACAUGAUGCAUGGAAAUCCCUUAGCGUGUGCCUGGCAUGUAAACUGCAGGUGUCAUCAUUAUUACUGAGGAAUACUGAGUCCCGAACAUGGCUGUCUCAUUGGUGGACUGGGGUCUCCCCCAGGGCAUUCAUCUACUAUGUGUUUAUUGCACCCUUUUUCCAUGUGAGGCACAUGCCAGGGACUGGGCACAUGGUAUGAACAAGACACAGGUCAUCGGUGUCCUCUUGAGCUCCCUGGCUUGGCAGCAGAUGCAUACCUGGGAAGGAUGCUAGGUCAUCCGGGAACUCUACCUCCUUCAAAUCCCUAAGGACUGUGCUCCCAAUCCGCUUACGCUCAAGGAAGAACUGCCUGGAAGCCCUCCCUGGUACCAUACCCCAGCCGAUGAGUAUGUACCCCCAGAAGUACUUCCGCUCAGAGAAGAAGGAGACGGCAAGCAGGGUGUACAGGAAGGCCCAGAACCAGCCUGCUGUCAGGAUCAGAACAAAAGAGGAGGACUGCAUAUGUAUGGACCCACUCCAGAUGGCACGGGGACGGGGGGAGUAGGAAAAGUGGCAUGGUCCCUUCCCGUGGAUAUAAUUCUUCCCAGGCCUGUUGUGUGAGUUGGUGAUGCCAUCAUUCCUGCCUCACACUUGCAAACUUCCCUCUUUGGAAUUUCAGAGACCAGGCCCACAGAGUAUGGCUGUGCAAGUUGUUCACUCUACAAGGGCACCUGGCCGGGGUCUUACCUUGAAUGGAGGAGAAGAGCUUGAAGAUGAGGGGACAGGCCAAGACAACUACCUGGCCCCGAGGGGUGGCUGGCCAGCAGAUGAGGAAAUGGAGGCACAGACUGAUUAGAAAACCAGCUCAAGGUCAUGUUGCUGGGCUCUCUGGUGGAGCCUCUGUCUCACAGGUCACCUGCAGGCCAACACUCCCAGAAGCAGCUAGCACCAUGGUUGACCUCGUCCAGGUCCAGGGAAGGCCUCCCUCUCCAGGACUCCUUUAGAUUUCCCCAGCAUCCAGACCUCACCUGCCUAAGUGCUGUUGCCCUGGAAGCCACAGUGAGCACGAGCUCCAUCUUGCACCUUUACCAGCCAAUGGGGGUAAAGACAUUAGCUGGGUUACUCAGGCUGAAAUGCUCAAGACACUCUGUCUCAAGGGAUUUGUGGCUGUUUCAUCCUCAAGUAUAGGGGGAAUAGUGGCCAGGAAGAUCUCAGAGGUGGCUUCUGGAAGAGGAAUCUGGGUACUGGCUACCCUGCCUUGUGUCCCAUCAUUGGUCUGUCUUGCCUGUCUUGGAGCACAUUUCUCACCAAGGCCAUGUUCAAUCCCCUCAAGGGAAGCCUGAGACCACAGCUACUGCCUCGAAUCAGAAGCCCCAGCCUCAUCAUCUGGGGCCAGAGAACUAGGGCAGGAGGAGCCAAGUAGCACAGCAGGAAGCAUGAGUCCCUCCGAGGAGAAGCUGGUCUCUGAGAGGAGCACAGAAUGCAGCAGGCUGGAUAAGCCCCCUGCUGAAAUCAUGGGGUAAAAAAGAGACACAGGGGGAAUGGAGGAGCCAGAGAGAAAGCAGUGUGAUCACAGGCACACAGGACAGCAGCUCACCUUCCCAUCCUUGCUGGCUUUUGCACCCAACAGCCCAAAGCCUCCCCGCUGCAAAUUCUUUUUUUUUUUUUUUUUUGCCAGCCUCACUUCCUCUUGGGGAAGGCUGAGCUCUGGUAGAAGAAGAGAAUGAGAACUGCUGUAAAUACUUCUAAGGGGCCAGGCGUGGUGACUCAUGCUUGUAAUUCCAAGCACUUUGGGAGGCUGAGGCAGGUGGAUCACCUGAAGCCAGGAGUUCAAGAGCAGCCUGGCCAACAUGGCGAAACCCUGUCUCUACUAAAAAUACAAAAUUUAGCCAGGCAUGGUGGCGGGAGCCUGUAAUCUCAGCUCCUAGGGAGGCUGAGCCAGAAGAAUCGCUUAAACCUGGAAGCUGGAGGUUGCAGUGAGCCAAGAUCACACCACCACACUCCAGCCUGGGUGACAGAGCAAGACUCCAUCUCAAAAAGAAAAAAAAGAAAAAAAGGAAAUACUUCUAAGUUAUGUGAGAGAGUACAUACUGACAUUUUCAAUGGGUACAAUAA
rnacentral:lncRNA from 1 species